CUGCCAUCCGGAAGGCCGGAGCCAGACUCCCGCGGUUUCCCUCCACAGGCACGGGGACUUGGUGAAGCAGAAGGCAGAGCUGGACGCGCUGCAGGGCGCCUUGACCUCGGAGCGCGAGGCGCUGCAGCAGGAGCGGCGGACACACGCCAUCACCACGGGCGAGAACCAGAAGCUGCAGGGAGAGCUGGACAGGGUCACUUUCCUGCACCACCAGCUGAAGGGGGAGUAUGAGGAGCUGCAUGCCCACACCAAGGAGCUGAAGACGGCGCUCAACAGCUCGCAGCUGGAGCUGAGCCGCUGGCAGGCGCGCUUCGACGAGCUCAAGGAGCAGCACCAGAGCAUGGACCUCUCGCUGACCAAGCUGGACAACCACUGUGAGCUGCUUUCCCGGCUCAAGGGGAACUUGGAGGAGGAGAAUCACCACCUCCUGAGCCAGAUCCAGCUGUUGAGCCAGCAGAACCAGAAGCUGCUAGAGCAGAACAUGGAGAGCCAGGAGCAGUACCACGAGGAGCAGAAGCAGUACAUAGACAAAUUAAAUGCCUUACGGAGACAUAAGGAAAAACUGGAAGAAAAAAUCAUGGAUCAGUACAAGUUCUAUGACCCUGCUCCAAAGAAGAAGAACCACUGGAUUGGAGCCAAAGCCUUAGUCAAACUCAUCAAACCAAAGAAAGACGGUUCCAGAGAACGGUUGAAGUCAGCCACAGACAGCCCUCCGUUGCAGCUGGAGUCCUCAGGGUCAGACCCUGCCUCGCCACCCCCUUCUCAGCCUCUCAGGUCACGGCCAGAGAACCCCAACACCCCCCCAGUGCGCCUGAACUGUGCAGAAGAGCAUGACACCCACAACGGGACUGUGGUCAAAGGCCCUGGGGAUCUAAAACCAAAGCGAGGGUCCCCACAUGGAGGCAGCCUCGACCACACAGAAGCCUCCACCGACCUGGUCAUGAAGUCCUGGCCGUCCGAGCUGGGCUCCCGGACCUGUUCGGCCUCAGCCAUCACGGCAGCCCCUUCCAGCUCCGCUCCCACCCCCCGGCACCCAGGCCGCACCAAAGGCUGUAAUUCAGAUGACAACCUCUGCGACCCACCUCCGGAGCUCCAGUGCACCCAGCCCAGGCAGCAUGCGUCACGACCAGGCAGCUUGGAGAGCAGCAGGAACACAUCCAGCAACAGCUCACCUCCGAGCCUCAAAGGUUCCUCCGACCAGCUCCAUGGCCGGUCCGAGAGCUUCAGCAGUGAAGACCUGAUCCCCUGCAGGGACCCGGCCACGCUGCCCCGGGAGGCUGGUGCUCCAGGACGCAGUGCCCUUGGCCGCCACGAGAACCCCCCGACACACAGGAAUGCGGCCCUGCUCGGCCUCCCCGAGCAGCGAGAUGGUCACCUUGGAGGAGUUCUUGGAGGAGAGCAACCGCAGCUCCCCAAGCCACGACACUCCUCCCGGUUGCCCGGAUGACCUCCUGCUGAGAGACUACUUCCGAACAGCCAAUAAUUUUGUGGCCAUCAGAAGCCUGCCGGGACCACCUGCCAGGAAGGAAGGGGCCAAGAUGCCCGUCAGCCAUGUGGCCCCAAUCAAGAUGGCCAUUGGCACCCCCGAGGGGAAGCAGCCGAAGCCUGGACAUUACAUGAAGCCAAACUUCAGGCCAGCUGAGGCGGAAGCCCCGGCCAGUACACCCCCCAGACAGGCCCAGCCUCCCCAGAGCCUGUCCCUGGGCAGACCCCGACAGGCCGCCGCGUCCUGCACCUCCCACACAUCUGCCAGCCGGAGUGCGUCCCUGAGCCGUGCCUUCAGCUUGGCCUCAGCUGACCUUCUGCGGGCCAGCGGGCCAGAGGCCUGUAAGCCAGAGUCCCCUCAGAAGGCGGGGGGUCUCGAGGCCUCGGGGGGCAGAGAGACAGGCAGCCACAGCCUGCACAGCCCCACACCCCCCAGCUCCCACAGCCUGGCGCGGGAGCGGACCCCACUGCAGGUCUCAGGCCCCCGUAGCCGGCCACUGGACAUGAGGCGCUUCUCACUGGCUCCUCCAAAGGAGGAGAGGCUGGCCCCCCUGCAGCAGUCCGCCACAGCGCCAGCCAUUGCCAUGGGAGGUGGCAGUGGCAGUAGCUCCCAGCUGCAGCACUUCUCACCUGUUGCCACCCCAACUGCCAGGACCAAGCCCAAAAUGUCCCCACAUCCAGGGGAGGUGGCCACCAUCGCCCCUGUCCGGGCAGGGCUCAGCGGCUCAGAGGGAGAUGGGGUUCCAGGGCAGGGCUAUAACGAGGGGCUCCCCGCCAAGAGCCCUGGGAGGUCCCCUGAAUCAGGUCCUCACGGCACCCGGGGCCCCGAGGACCUCAGUCGAGGGGGCAGCUCCAGGAGUGCACCGGCGUCCCCAGAGCCGGGUGGGGACCCCCAGACGGUGUGGUAUGAGUACGGCUGCGUGUGACUGGUCUGGAGGGCCGGCAGCUCCCGAACCUCAGACUGCUGAGCCGCCUUCUGAUCCCGAGGCCCUUCUCCUGGUGCCUGCAGGGCUGGGAGAGGGUGAGGAGGAAGGGGUCCCCACGCCAUGGUCCGGUUUGUUUCCCGAACACGGUGCCAAGCCCCAAGGGGAUGACCGCCAGGUGUGUGAUGCGUCUUCUAUACCUGGAGCUUCCUGCCGGCUGCUGGUGGCUUUGGAACAGAUCCAUUUAGCAUGAGGGCCACUUAGAAAGCGGUGACAAAUCCGACCUGGCCCAGAGCAGACACUAUUUGAGUGGACCCUGGUAGAACACUCGUGUGCAAACCAUUGACUUCCGUUAAAAAAUGCACAUGUGCUCGUGCACGCACACAGCAGGCUCACAGGCUCAUCCCUGGUGGGUCUGGAAACGACUCCCCAAGGCCAUUGGAUCCUGGGAACAGCCCAGACAGGUCCAGUACAAGGACCUGGAUUUCCUUUGCCCCAGGGCCAUGCCCUCAGGUCUGCGAGGCCUGGGCAUUUGUUCUCUCCUCCAGUUGGUUCUGGGGUCCCCAGGCCACCCAGGGACCAGCCUUCCUAGCUCAAUUUCUACAAACACUGGAUCUGCUGGGCCUGGGCCGGGGGUGCAGAGAUGCCCCGGCCCUGUCCCAGGAGCGAGCGUGGGCGGGGGAGGCCUGUGCACAGAGGUGCCUGCUUGGCUUGUGGUAGAGCUGCAGCACCCGGCUUCCCCAUCUCAGGUGGGAUGUUGAUUUCUGGAUAAUUUGGGGGGGGGUUUAAAAACCAAAUUUCUUUUAAUAUAUAUGUACACGCUCGUGAAAUAUAUAUACUUUGGGGGAUCUAUUUAUGUUCCUUUGGGAGUCAUUCCUUCAGGAAUCGUACCUGCUGCUUUGUGUAUUUGGUCAGAUUCCUGACGCGUUUAGUUUUCCUAUUGUAAAGGUGCUUUUCCUGGGAUGGGCUAAACCUAUUGACUUUUUAAAAAGAUUUCCCCCCCCUUUUGAUUUAAUGUGCUGAGAAAGAAAUGGGGAGACUUUUGAAUGUUAACAGGAUCCACUGUGGGAAUGUUUCGGGUGGCGUGUUAAAGAGCCAUCAUUCUGGAACACAGGACAGGGUUGUAAUAAAGCAGAACAGAACAAGC
ensembl:lincRNA